GCCCUUUGUGACCUACCCGAGGAUGCCCAGUUGCUGAACCUGUGGCCACGUGCAAAGAAGGAGGCUGACAAGCUGCACGAGGGAGGAUUCAUCUCACCGGCUGCAUACACAGUGGAGGUUGCCCUGAGCUGUCUGAACUCCAAAUGGGCAUCCUUAAGCCUUGUGACUCAGGAGUAAGGAUGGACUGGAGAUGGAAAAGCUGAUUCUGAGAAGUUAAACAAUUUGCCUACUUUCACACUAGUGAAUCCUGAUGCCGCUGAGCACUCAAACCUAAUUCCUGGCUUGGAACAACCAUGUUGCUGAGAAAGCAGUCUCGAGAUAGAAGAGACAGCCAUGACAGAAUGGCUUCCUGUCUCCUCUUGCAUACACUCCUCUGCUGGUUCUCCGAACACUGGAGAAACACUUACCCCAGCGUCCUCCCCACCCAAAGGACAGGAAGUGGUGGUACAAGGUCUGGUGCAUCCAGUGUGGCUACCGCUAGCAGAUAUCAUCACAUCAUCUUAUUGUGCCUUUAUUCCAAAGAAACCCAAAGAGUCAUAGCAAACCAAUAUCUCCCCUCCCUUGGACUGUCAGACUCAACUGGUUGGCAGCUUGCCCAAAUAGUGGGGAAUAAAACAAAUUCUGAAUUAGUGAGAGAAAAAGAA